UCUGACGACCAUAGCGUCUGGGUACCACCCCUUCCCAUCCCGAACAGGACCGUGAAACCAGACCGCGCCGAUGAUAGUGAGAUCCGCUCUCGUGAAAGUAGGUCAUCGUCAGAC
rnacentral:rRNA from 1 species